CAACAUGACCUUCAUCAUCAUCUUCAUCUGGACUCUCACAGCGUUUGCUCAAGAGAGUAGAGGACAGAUCAGCGUCACUCAGAGUCCCUCAACAGCAGCUCAACCAGGAGAAACAGUGAAGAUCAGCUGCAAAACCAGCACUGAUGUGUACAGUGAUAUUUUUGGGCAUCGCUUAGCCUGGUACUUACAGAAACCUGGAGAAGCUCCUAAACUCCUGAUUUAUUAUGCAAACACUCUUGAGUCAGGAACUCCAUCUAGAUUCAGUGGCAGUGGAUCUAACAGUGAUUUCACUCUGACCAUCAGUGGAGUCCAGACUGAAGAUGCUGGACAUUAUUACUGUCAGAGUGUACACUACAUCAGUAGUAGCUGGGUGUUCACACAGUGAUAAAGCGUGGUACAAAAACCUGUGUCAGUCAGAGUCACAGUGACUGAACUGAUGCUGCAGCUGCUCAAACACUAUCACUCACUACUGACACA